UGGGGAAUCUUGGACAAUGGGGGAAACCCUGAUCCAGCAACGCCGCGUGAGUGAUGAAGGCCUUCGGGUCGUAAAGCUCUGUUGGGAGGGAAGAAUGGGCCGCGUAACAAACGGCUUUGACGUUACCUCCUGAGGAAGCACCGGCUAACUCUGUGCCAGCAGCCGCGGUAAUACAGAGGUGGCAAGCGUUGUUCGGAAUUACUGGGCGUAAAGGGCGCGUAGGCGGCCCUCUAAGUCAGACGUGAAAUCCCCCGGCUUAACCUGGGAACUGCGUCUGAUACUGGAGGGCUUGAGUAUGGGAGAGGGAUGUAGAAUUCCAGGUGUAGCGGUGAAAUGCGUAGAUAUCUGGAGGAAUACCGGUGGCGAAGGCGGCAUCCUGGACCAUUACUGACGCUGAGGCGCGAAAGCUAGGGGAGCAAACGGGAUUAGAUACCCGGGUAGUCCCUGAGCGGGCUGGCAAGGCGCAU
rnacentral:rRNA from 1 species